UCCAGACUCCUACGGGAGGCAGCAGUGGGGAAUAUUGGGCAAUGGGCGCAAGCCUGACCCAGCAACGCCGCGUGAAGGAAGAAGGCUUUCGGGUUGUAAACUUCUUUUGUCAGGGACGAAGCAAGUGACGGUACCUGACGAAUAAGCCACGGCUAACUACGUGCCAGCAGCCGCGGUAAUACGUAGGUGGCAAGCGUUAUCCGGAUUUAUUGGGUGUAAAGGGCGUGUAGGCGGGAAUGCAAGUCAGAUGUGAAAACUAUGGGCUCAACCCAUAGCCUGCAUUUGAAACUGUUGGUCUUGAGUAUCGGAGAGGCAGGCGGAAUUCCUAGUGUAGCGGUGAAAUGCGUAGAUAUUAGGAGGAACACCAGUGGCGAAGGCGGCCUGCUGGACGACAACUGACGGUGAGGCGCGAAAGCGUGGGGAGCAAACAGGAUUAGAUACCCGAGUA
rnacentral:rRNA from 1 species